AAUAAAUAUAAAUUUUCAUGUAAAAUUUAAAUACGGGAAAACUUAACUGGCCCAGACACAGGAAGGGUUUACAGAUUAAGAGCUCUUUCUUGAUUCUGUGGGUGGUGGUGCAUGGCUGUUCUUAGUUGGCAGAGUGAUUUGUCUGGUUAAUUCCGAUAAUGAACAAGACUCUAGCCUACUAAAUAGACAUUCUGAUCCUUCGAGUUGGACAUUCUUCUUAGAGGGACAAGCGGCAUUUAGCUGCAUGAGACAGAGCAAUAACAGGUCUGUGAUGCCCUUUGAUGUCCAGGGCCACACGUGAGCUACAUUCAAGGAAUCAGCGUGUGCUUUCCCUGUCCAACAGGACUGGGUAACCCACUGAACCUCCUUUGUGCUGGAGAUAGGGGCUUCUAAUUGUUUCCCUUGAAUGAGGAAUUCCCAGUAAGCACGAGUCACAAGCUAUUGAGUAU
rnacentral:rRNA from 1 species